GGUAAUCUGCUGUGGUCUUUUUCCACGGUUUGGAAGCUUUAUUUUUUUGCUCUUUGCAAUAAAUAUUGUUGCUGCUAAUUCUUUGAGUCCACACUGCUUUUGUGAGUUGUAGCACUCACCCGAAGGUUUGCAGCUUCACUCCUGAAGCCAGUGAGACCACGAACCCAACGAGAGGAACGAAGAAUUCCAGACGCGCUGCAUUAAGAGCUGUAACACUCACUGCGAAGGUCUGCAGCUUCACUUUUGAAGCCAGCAAGACCACGAACCCAUCAGAAGGAAGAAACUCCAAACACAUCCGAGCAGCAGAAGGAACAAACUCCGGACACGCUGCCUUUAAGAACUGUGACACUCAGAGCGAGGGUCUGCGGCAUCACAUUUGAAGUCAGUGAGACCAAGAACCCACCGAUUCCGGACGCGAGCAGGUUGCUUCAGGGUAUAGACAUUUGGCACAGUACUGCAGCAUAAACCCAUCAAGAUUAAGGAAACCAUGGGGGCCGAGCAUGGUGGUUCACACCUGUAAUCCCAGCACUUUGGAAGGUUGAGGUUAGAAUUCCAAUGCAGCACUGAGUAGAACUGAGGAUUAUGUAACAUCUUAUUAUGCCUGAUUUUUAAAA
rnacentral:lncRNA from 1 species